rnacentral:rRNA from 1 species
GCAAGUCGAGCGAACGGACGAGAAGCUUGCUUCUCUGAUGUUAGCGGCGGACGGGUGAGUAACACGUGGAUAACCUACCUAUAAGACUGGGAUAACUUCGGGAAACCGGAGCUAAUACCGGAUAAUAUUUUGAACCGCAUGGUUCAAAAGUGAAAGACGGUCUUGCUGUCACUUAUAGAUGGAUCCGCGCUGCAUUAGCUAGUUGGUAAGGUAACGGCUUACCAAGGCAACGAUGCAUAGCCGACCUGAGAGGGUGAUCGGCCACACUGGAACUGAGACACGGUCCAGACUCCUACGGGAGGCAGCAGUAGGGAAUCUUCCGCAAUGGGCGAAAGCCUGACGGAGCAACGCCGCGUGAGUGAUGAAGGUCUUCGGAUCGUAAAACUCUGUUAUUAGGGAAGAACAUAUGUGUAAGUAACUGUGCACAUCUUGACGGUACCUAAUCAGAAAGCCACGGCUAACUACGUGCCAGCAGCCGCGGUAAUACGUAGGUGGCAAGCGUUAUCCGGAAUUAUUGGGCGUAAAGCGCGCGUAGGCGGUUUUUUAAGUCUGAUGUGAAAGCCCACGGCUCAACCGUGGAGGGUCAUUGGAAACUGGAAAACUUGAGUGCAGAAGAGGAAAGUGGAAUUCCAUGUGUAGCGGUGAAAUGCGCAGAGAUAUGGAGGAACACCAGUGGCGAAGGCGACUUUCUGGUCUGUAACUGACGCUGAUGUGCGAAAGCGUGGGGAUCAAACAGGAUUAGAUACCCUGGUAGUCCACGCCGUAAACGAUGAGUGCUAAGUGUUAGGGGGUUUCCGCCCCUUAGUGCUGCAGCUAACGCAUUAAGCACUCCGCCUGGGGAGUACGACCGCAAGGUUGAAACUCAAAGGAAUUGACGGGGACCCGCACAAGCGGUGGAGCAUGUGGUUUAAUUCGAAGCAACGCGAAGAACCUUACCAAAUCUUGACAUCCUUUGACAACUCUAGAGAUAGAGCUUUCCCCUUCGGGGGACAAAGUGACAGGUGGUGCAUGGUUGUCGUCAGCUCGUGUCGUGAGAUGUUGGGUUAAGUCCCGCAACGAGCGCAACCCUUAAGCUUAGUUGCCAUCAUUAAGUUGGGCACUCUAAGUUGACUGCCGGUGACAAACCGGAGGAAGGUGGGGAUGACGUCAAAUCAUCAUG